UGACGGGUAGCUGGUCUGAGAGGACGACCAGCCACACGGGGACUGAGACACGGCCCCGACUCCUACGGGAGGCAGCAGUGGGGAAUUUUCCGCAAUGGGCGAAAGCCUGACGGAGUGACGCUGCGUGUGGGACGAAGGCCUUCGGGUCGUAAACCACUGUCAGUGGGAAAGAUGGGUGUCGGCGUGAUAACCGCCGGCAUUUGACGGUACCUGCAGAGGAAGCCCCGGCUAACUCUGUGCCAGCAGCCGCGGUAAGACAGAGGGGGCAAGCGUUGCUCGGAAUUACUGGGCGUAAAGGGCGCGUAGGCGGGAUGGCAAGUCGGUCGUGAAAUCCCUCGGCUCAACUGAGGAUCGUCGAUCGAUACUGCCGUUCUUGAGGAUUGCAGAGGAGACUGGAAUUCCCGGUGUAGCGGUGAAAUGUGUAGAGAUCGGGAGGAACACCGGUGGCGAAGGCGGGUCUCUGGGCAAUUCCUGACGCUGAGGCGCGAAAGCGUGGGGAGCAAACGGGAUUAGAUACCCCGGUAGUCCACGCUGUAAACGAUGACGACUAGGUGUGGGGGGGUUCAGUCCCUUCCGUGCCGCAGCUAACGCAUUAAGUCGUCCGCCUGGGGAGUACGGCCGCAAGGUUGAAACUCAAAGGAAUUGACG
rnacentral:rRNA from 1 species